rnacentral:rRNA from 1 species
UGGGGAAUAUUGCACAAUGGAGGGAACUCUGAUGCAGCGACGCCGCGUGAACGAAGAAGGCUUUCGAGUCGUAAAGUUCUUUUAUAUGGGAAGAUAAUGACGGUACCAUAAGAAAAAGCCCCGGCUAACUACGUGCCAGCAGCCGCGGUAAUACGUAGGGCGCGAGCGUUGUCCGGAUUUAUUGGGCGUAAAGAGCUCGUAGGUGGUUCGUCGCGUCUGUCGUGAAAGCCAGCAGCUUAACUGUUGGUCUGCGGUGGGUACGGGCGGGCUUGAGUGCGGUAGGGGUGACUGGAAUUCCUGGUGUAGCGGUGGAAUGCGCAGAUAUCAGGAGGAACACCGAUGGCGAAGGCAGGUCACUGGGCCGUUACUGACACUGAGGAGCGAAAGCGUGGGGAGCGAACAGG